rfam:Candidatus Nitrospira defluvii chromosome, complete genome.
ACAACAGCGACGACGAGGAGUAGUAGGCAGCGUUGGCCGAACUGAGAGAGCUGGUGGAUGGUGCGAACCAGCCGGUGAUCUGCCGAACUCGCCUCUGAGCUGGACUUGUGAAACCCUUCGGGGUGGUAAUAGGUCCCGGAUGAUCCGCGUAACGGAUUGAAUGAAGGGCGGUUGGAUGAAGGACAUGCUUCAUCCGUCGCUGAAUCAGGGUGGUACCACGAAGCUCGCAAGGCCUUCGUCCCUGUC